UACAGAGGGUGCGAGCGUUGUCCGGAAUCACUGGGCGUAAAGGGCGCGUAGGUGGCGGGAUAAGCGUGCGGUGAAAGCCCGGGGCUCAACCCCGGGUCUGCCGUGCGGACUGUCUUGCUCGAGCGUAGUAGAGGCAGGUGGAAUUCCGGGUGUAGCGGUGGAAUGCGUAGAGAUCCGGAAGAACACCGGUGGCGAAGGCGGCCUGCUGGGCUACUGCUGACACUGAGGCGCGACAGCGUGGGGAGCAAACAGG
rnacentral:rRNA from 1 species